GACGAACGCUGGCGGCGUGCUUAACACAUGCAAGUCGAACGGAAAGGCCCUGCUUUUGUGGGGUGCUCGAGUGGCGAACGGGUGAGUAACACGUGAGUAACCUGCCUUUGACUUUGGGAUAACUUCAGGAAACUGGGGCUAAUACCGGAUAGGAGCUCCUGCUGCAUGGUGGGGGUUGGAAAGUUUCGGCGGUUGGGGAUGGACUCGCGGCUUAUCAGCUUGUUGGUGGGGUAGUGGCUUACCAAGGCUUUGACGGGUAGCCGGCCUGAGAGGUUGACCGGCCACAUUGGGACUGAGAUACGGCCCAGACGCCUACGGGAGGCAGCAGUGGGGAAUAUUGCACAAUGGGCGGAAGCCUGAUGCAGCAACGCCGCGUGCGGGAUGACGGCCUUCGGGUUGUAAACCGCUUUCGCCUGUGACGAAGCGUGAGUGACGGUAAUGGGUAAAGAAGCACCGGCUAACUACGUG
rnacentral:rRNA from 1 species